AUACUGAGAAAUCUGUCCUCCCUUGGUGGAGUUCAAGCGUGCCUGGGCACGUUCAUCAAACUGGAGGGGCAGGCCUUGUGGAAGCCUGAGGGGCCCCUGGCAAUGGACUCAAACUGGAUCUGCUACGUAAAUCCAAACACAUCCAGACAAGUCUUCCAAAUCAGAAGAGGGUAUGUGUGAGAUGCAGAAACAACUCCCAAGAAAAGAUCUCAUUCUCAGGUUGGUGGAAAAGCCUGGGGCAUGGAGAACAGCUAUGGUUUGAAACUCCGGGACCCCAGUUCAAGUUGUGGUUUCUGCCUUUGUCCUGUGCUUUGGUAGAAAUACAAAGCAACCAAGGGCCAGCCCCAGAAUCCCUGGCUACCCUGGGUUAAGAGUCUGGACUAUAUAUGCCACUGACCCAUUAGAGGGUGGCUUUAAUGGCCAUCUCUUCCAAAGGACACAAAGCAAUAGGACAAACACCUGAGCCAUGUACUUCUGUUGCCCUGCCAUGCACAAGUUCAGAACUAUCUCUCCUCUCCUGAUGUGAUGAGGGAAGGCACAGUUUCCAGGAGGUCUGUACCACCCCCAGAUUACACAGCCACCUCCCUCCCACCCCCAACAUCUCUGCUGUCAUUCUACAUAGAUCCUGCCUGAAAGGCAAGAAGCAGUAACCCUUAGCUCUUUUGGAGAGUCAGACUCCUGGCAGGAACGCCAGACUUACUCUACAGUGCCCCUGUACACUUGCAUAGGAGGAGAGAGAGUCUACCUUUACUUCUGAGAAAACAACUUUUCUAUAAUGGCUUCAGUUCCAAAGUUUGCUACUUUCAAAUAUAUUUAUCAUCACCUUACAAAACGCUUUUGUAUUUCAUUCUAAAAAUAUUACACAAGUUUUUAUGUAAUAAAACCUCAUUUUAUGUAAUAUGUAACCUCAGGGGAGGUUAACACCAUUUAUUUUAUUCAAAACAUUUUGAAAGGAUUAAUUAUAUUUCAUGCUAGGGGCAAUCAUAAAAAAUUUGGAAUGAUCUUCUUCGAUAAAUAACAUUCAUUUUACUUAUUUCCACUCACCAGACAUACUGUACUUGUGGCAUUUCUUUCUGCACUGAUUUUAUUAUUAUUAAUACAUAGAAAAUAAUUUGGUGUCUACUCAAAACACUAGGGGAGCUUAAGGCAUAGGUACUUCAUAAGCAAACAAGGCAACAGGUUAUGUAGUACCAUAAAUAUUUACAGCAUUUGUCAAUUUUAAAGGCUUCUACUUACUAUUUAACUUGUACUGUUUAAUACCUACAUAGUCAUUACUGUGAUUGUCUCAGGAUCAUAAAAGUUUUUCUUAAAUAGCAUUAGCAUAUUAAUAUGAUCUUCUGUUUAAAAAAGCAUCUCCAUUUAUGACUCAAGGUAGAACAUAGAAGAAUUCAACAAUCACGAUACAGUACUGUACAAUGUCACACAGUGCAGGGAAGAGGAAGUCUGUGAGCUCAUAAGCUCCAAGAAGGCAGGGACCAAGUCUGUCCUAUAGCUCUCGCACUUAGCCCUAUGGCCAGCACAUAGUUAAUAACCAAUCAAUAAAUAUUUGUUUGGUGAGAGUAAACAUGGAAGGAGAAUAAAAAGGGAGAGAGGGUGGCAAGGAGAAUAUCAUGGAAAAUAAAUGGGAGACAUUUCCCAAAUCAUACUGUGGGAACCCUUUUUGUUUUGACCAAAUUAUUACCAUUACUGUAAAUUAGGUCUUUGCACAAAAAGUCAAAUAUUUUUAAAUGUUAGUUAUUAAGGCUAUGUAAUCACAUGUAUCAUCAGAACCUUUUGGUUUCAACU